UACGUAGGGUGCAAGCGUUUAAUCGGAAUUACUGGGCGUAAAGCGUGCGCAGGCGGUUUUGUAAGUCUGACGUGAAAUCCCCGGGCUCAACCUGGGAAUUGCGUUGGAGACUGCAAGGCUAGAAUCUGGCAGAGGGGGGGUAGAAUUCCACGUGUGGGCAGUGAAAAUGCGUAGAGAUGUGGAGGAACACCGAUGGCGAAGGCAGCCCCCUGGGUCAAGAUUGACGCUCAUGCACGAAAGCGUGGGGAGCAAACAGG
rnacentral:rRNA from 1 species